rnacentral:rRNA from 1 species
GAGGAAAGAGGGGGGCGUGCCUAAUACAUGCAAGUCGAACGCAUAGCGAAAGGUGCUUGCCCCUUUCAAGUGAGUGGCGAACGGGUGAGUAACACGUGGACAACCUGCCUCAAGGCUGGGGAUAACAUUUGGAAACAGAUGCUAAUACCGAAUAAAACUUAGUGUCGCAUGACACAAAGUUAAAAGGCGCUUCGGCGUCACCUAGAGAUGGAUCCGCGGUGCAUUAGUUAGUUGGUGGGGUAAAGGCCUACCAAGACAAUGAUGCAUAGCCGAGUUGAGAGACUGAUCGGCCACAUUGGGACUGAGACACGGCCCAAACUCCUACGGGAGGCUGCAGUAGGGAAUCUUCCACAAUGGGCGAAAGCCUGAUGGAGCAACGCCGCGUGUGUGAUGAAGGCGUUCGGGUCGUAAAGCACUGUUGUAUGGGAAGAACAGCUAGAAUAGGAAAUGAUUUUAGUUUGACGGUACCAUACCAGAAAGGGACGGCUAAAUACGUG